UACGGAGGGUGCGAGCGUUGUCCGGAAUCAUUGGGCGUAAAGGGCGCGUAGGUGGCCCGGUCAGUUCGUGGUGAAAGCGCGGGGCUCAACCCUGCGUCGGCCAUGAAUACUGCCGCGGCUGGAGCACUGUAGAGGCAGGCGGAAUUCCGGGUGUAGCGGUGGAAUGCGUAGAGAUCCGGAAGAACACCGGUGGCGAAGGCGGCCUGCUGGGCAGUUGCUGGACACUGAGGCGCGACAGCGUGGG
rnacentral:rRNA from 1 species